UCAGACCGUAUCAGAUACUAGUAAAGUGUCUUGUCUCGAUGUAUAUUAUAACAUUUGCACCUUCAUUCGUGAAUAUAUCUAUAUAAGAUAGUUCCUAAUCGUCACGAUAGAUGAAACAGAUCAAUCCAGGAACGGAAGAAAAUCUGAGAACUGCUUUCACGGUGACGAAUCUGCCGAAGAUACAUUUUCUACUGGAAUCAGUUUCAAAAAUUCCCCUCCUGCUGUCGAAAUAAAAAAAAUUGUAAAAAUAAUUUAAUAAAAAAAAUA